rnacentral:rRNA from 1 species
GACGAACGCUGGCGGCGUGCUUAACACAUGCAAGUCGAACGGAAAGGCCCUGCUUUUGUGGGGUGCUCGAGUGGCGAACGGGUGAGUAACACGUGAGUAACCUGCCCUUGACUUUGGGAUAACUUCAGGAAACUGGGGCUAAUACCGGAUAGGAGCUCCUGCUGCAUGGUGGGGGUUGGAAAGUUUCGGCGGUUGGGGAUGGACUCGCGGCUUAUCAGCUUGUUGGUGGGGUAGUGGCUUACCAAGGCUUUGACGGGUAGCCGGCCUGAGAGGGUGACCGGCCACAUUGGGACUGAGAUACGGCCCAGAGUCCUACGGGAGGCAGCAGUGGGGAAUAUUGCACAAUGGGCGGAAGCCUGAUGCAGCGACGCCGCGGUCGGGAUGACGGCCUUCGGGUUGUAAACCGCUUUAGCCUGUGACGAAGCGUGAGUGACGGUAAUGGGUAAAGAAGCACCGGCUAACUACGUG